rnacentral:rRNA from 1 species
GAUGAACGCUGGCGGCGUGCCUAAUACAUGCAAGUCGAGCGAACGGACGAGAAACUUGCCUCCCUGCUGUUAGAGGCGGACGGGGGAGUAACACGUGGAUAACCCACCUAUAAGACUGGGAUAACUUAGGGAAACCGGAGCUAAUACCGGGUAAUAGUUUGAACCGCAUGGUCCAGAAGAGAAAGACGGUCUUGCUGUCACGUAUAGAUGGAUCCGCGCUGCAUUAGCUAGUUGGUAAGGUAACGGCUUACCAAGGCAACGAUGCAUAGCCGACCUGGGAGGGUGAUCGCCCACACUGGACCUGAGCCCCGGCCCGGACUCCUACGGGAGGCAGCAGUGGGGAAUCUUCCGCAAUGGGCGAAAGCCUGACGGGGCACCGCCGCGUGGGUGAUGAAGGUCUUCGGAUCGUAAGACUCUGUUAUUAGGGAAGAACAUAUUUGUAAGUAACUGUGCACAUCUUGACGGUACCUAAUCAGAAAGCCACGGCUAACUACGUG